AUUGAACGCUGGCGGCAGGCUUAACACAUGCAAGUCGAGCGAGCGGCGGACGGGUGAGUAAUGUCUGGGAAACUGCCUGAUGGAGGGGGAUAACUACUGGAAACGGUAGCUAAUACCGCAUACCAUCCGAUGUUCCCAGAUGGGAUUAGCUAGUAGGUGGGGUAAUGGCUCACCUAGGCGACGAUCCCUAGCUGGUCUGAGAGGAUGACCAGCCACACAGGAACUGAGACACGGUCCAGACUAAAACGGGAGGCAGCAGUGGGGAAUAGUGCACAAUGGGCGCAAGCCUGAUGCAGACAUGCCGCGUGUGUGACGAAGGCCUUCGGGUUGUAAAGGACUUUCAGCGAGGAGGCGUUACUCGCAGAAGAAGCACCGGCUAAUUCCGUGCCAGCAGCCGCGGUAAUUC
rnacentral:rRNA from 1 species